rnacentral:rRNA from 1 species
UUCCGUAGGUGAACCUGCGGAAGGAUAUUAUC